GAGGAAAGAGGGAGGUAUGCUUAACACAUGCAAGUCGAACGGACUCUUCGGAGUUAGUGGCGGACGGGUGAGUAACGCGUGAGAAUCUGGCUUUGGGUUCGGGACAACCACUGGAAACGGUGGCUAAUACCGGAUGUGCCGAGAGGUAAAAGAGAAAUUGCCUGAAGAUGAGCUCGCGUCUGAUUAGCUAGUUGGUGAGGUAAAGGCUCACCAAGGCAGCGAUCAGUAGCUGGUCUGAGAGGAUGACCAGCCACACUGGGACUGAGACACGGCCCAGACUCCUACGGGAGGCAGCAGUGGGGAAUUUUCCGCAAUGGGCGAAAGCCUGACGGAGCAAUACCGCGUGAGGGAAGAAGGCUCUUGGGUUGUAAACCUCUUUUCUUAGGGAAGAACAAAAUGACGGUACCUAAGGAAUCAGCAUCGGCUAACUCCGUG
rnacentral:rRNA from 1 species